UACGUAGGGUGCGAGCGUUGUCCGGAAUUAUUGGGCGUAAAGGGCUCGUAGGCGGUUUAUCGCGUCGGGAGUGAAAACCUUGGGCUUAACUCAGGGCUUGCUUUCGAUACGGGCAGACUAGAGGUAUGCAGGGGAGAACGGAAUUCCUGGUGUAGCGGUGAAAUGCGCAGAUAUCAGGAGGAACACCGGUGGCGAAGGCGGGUCUCUGGGCCGAUACUGACGCUGAGGAGCGAAAGCGUGGGGAGCGAACAGG
rnacentral:rRNA from 1 species